rnacentral:rRNA from 1 species
AAUGAACGUUGGCGGCAUGGAUUAGGCAUGCAAGUCGAGCGAGAAGUGUAGCAAUACACGGAAAGCGGCGGAAGGGAGAGUAAUACGUGGGAAUCUGCCCUUAGACCUGGGAUAGCAGCGGGAAACUGCUGGUAAUACCAGAUAAUGUCUAUGGACCAAAGGUGUGAUUCCGUCUAGGGAUGAGCCCACGUCCUAUUAGCUAGUUGGUAGGGUAAUGGCCUACCAAGGCGAUGAUGGGUAGCGGGUGUGAGAGCAUGACCCGCCUCACUGGGACUGAGACACUGCCCAGACACCUACGGGUGGCUGCAGUCGAGAAUCUUCGGCAAUGGGCGCAAGCCUGACCGAGCGAUGCCGCGUGCGGGAUGAAGGCCUCGGUUGUAA